rnacentral:rRNA from 1 species
CUAAUCUGCUGCGGUGGUGGCACGACUUUAGACCUAGACCGUCGUGGCCGCAGUAGGAGCCGACGCUCGCUGUAUGGACCGGUGGAGAGGUGUAAUAGGGAGCAAGUGAGGUCGCGGAGUUUGAGCGGGGGGAAGGACGUUCAACGCUUCCGGCGACUGUCCCGCAAGUAGGUGGAAGCUGGAGUGUUGGCUAGACUGGCGGGGCCUACAGUAACGGCGGGCCGGUCUAGCGGUACCCUGAGCUGCGGUGGUUGCGGAGGUGUGAAGUCCUCCUGGUCUACGGUGUGCCUAGACCGACAGUGCUUGUGGCGGUGGCGGUGUGGCAGAAAGAACGGUCAGGUCUAGGUGAAAAGGGAAUAGAGUGAGCACCAUGCUCACGGUCAGUAUCGUCUCUUGAUACUCCGUAGCUGCUAGGUCGGCGGCAGAACAAAAAGACAGAGAGGUUCUAUUUGUUACGCCGUGAGGGAGGUAGCCCAAGGUUGUUGCGUGCUAUCAACGCUGAGGUAGAAGGAGGAGUUGGUACAACAAGGUUUAUAUAAAAAACUUUGCAACAACGUUUUAAAACCUAACAAUGUUAGGUGUGGCAUGUGCUAAGACGUAACAAAGCACACACGGUUUCACGAUGUAUCCGCUGUUCAAACAAGGGACACACUAAUGGGGAGUAGUCGGUUAGCUAAUAACAAAACGUCCACCUCAUUGCGAGUACGGUCUUAGCUCGUAUUAGACUUUGUCAACAGUAAGAGAGAUCUACGAUUAUCCUAUUAUACGUUCACUGGAAAGUUCUUUUGGCGCUACCUGUUUCUUCGCAAUGUUGUUUAAAUCAGCGGAAGUUCUUUAAUCCUCUUCUCUGCUGUUUUUUUACAAGGAAGGAAAUUACUUCUGCCUUCGAUAUGUUUAUACAAACCCCCGGUUCUGUUGAGUAAACAAUUAAAUCAGGAAUCACGGCUACGAUGAACAAAGUAGUUCAAAGAUACAUUGAGCACAAUAAAACUAGAUACAUCAUGCACUUGAUACUAAGACAAAAAUUAUUUUUUAAUACUACCAC